AGCCUCGCUUCCUCUCUCGUCCCACGGGCUGAACAUCAGAGUCUGUCACUGCAAGAUCCCACACCUCGCUGUCCAGACACCCGGGGACACCAGGGGAUGCAUUUUGGCACAGCCCUGAGCUGCACCAGAGGAGGGAUGGGCUGAGCUGUGCCCAUGGCCAUGUGCCUUCAGCUGUGCUUCAAGUGGACAUCUCCAGCCAUCAGUGGCUGUGAUCCUAAUCCUGAACUGCACAUCAGCUCCAGCUUGCCCCCUGACCUGCCUCACCACCGUGGCAUUGCCUUUGCUAACAAACUCAGCAACCAGCAGGGUUGCAGUCAAACCUGCUGACAUCCCCCUCAGCUACUGGUUUUGCAAAGCUGAAUCAUCUCCCCCCCCAAUAUCUCCUAUAAGAGCGAGAUAAAUAUUCCAUGAGCACAGACUGUGCCACUCGAGAGGCAGGCUGCUGGCAGGGAGCCCAAGGCAGGCCUUGUUCCCGAGCCACAGCGCUGCAGGGCCCGCCCAGCACAGACUGACAGCCACGAAACACAACAAAUCACCAGGCUGAGAGUACAGGAAUCCACACAACUGCUCCAAGAGCCACCCAGCACAGACUGACAGCCACGAAACACAACAAAUCACCAGGCUGAGGGUACAGGAAUCCACACAACUGCUCCAAGAGCCACCCAGCACAGACUGACAGCCACGAAACACAACAAAUCACCAGGCUGAGAGUACAGGAAUCCACACAACUGCUCCAAGAGCCACCCAGCACAGACUGACAGCCACGAAACACAACAAAUCACCAGGCUGAGGGUACAGGAGUCCACACAACUGCUCCAAGAGCCACCCAGCACAGACUGACAGCCACGAAACACAACAAAUCACCAGGCUGAGGGUACAGGAGUCCACACAACUGCUCCAACAGCCACCCAGCACAGACUGACAGCCACAAAACACAACAAAUCACCAGGCUGAGGGUACAGGAAUCCACACAACUGCUCCAAGACCCACCCAAGCUGCUGGAGGCUUCUCCCUGAUGGAAUUACCCAGGAGUGUGACAGCUGGUCACUAACACAGAUGUGUGCCUGCAUGGCAACGCCUCCAGUGCCACCUGCAGCAGCCUGGAUGCUCACUGGGAACAGAGCCAGCCAGUGAUCUGGGGAUCCCAGCCUAAGGCUUUGGCAGAGUAUGGGCCUUCAUUAAAAAUGUGUUCAGCAACUCAUCUCCCUGGAACCAGAGCUGCUACAGGGAAAUGGCAAAUCAAAAACUGCAUUUGCUUCCAGUAGAUGGGAUGGAUCACUGAUUACUCACAGCAGAUGUGAGAUGUGGCUGGUAACAAGUGCUUGGACAGGCAGAUAGAAAGGUCUUCUGAACAGCUAAAACCUCCCAGGUAAUCUUUAUGACAUUUUGAGAGGAAAAGAAAACAGCAGCUAAAAUAGCAUGAAUCAGCACAAACAGGCCGAGGAAAUAACCUUCACUCCAAACAGCACUAAGCUUCAGGUAGAUUGCCAUGUAAAUUACAUAUUAAAGCUGAUCAAUUUGUAGAUCUCUUUCACACACAACAGCUCCAGUCACUUCCCUGAAUGACUACCCUACAGUAACUGAACACCCAAAACUGAUAUCUUGAAGGGAAUGAUUUCCCUGAGUCAUUUGCUCUCAGACACACUGGCUGUCCCACGCACCCCGAGGAAGGCAAAGCCCAGCUGCUGGGAUGCCCUGGAAGAUUUAUUUCCAGGUGAGCUCAGGAGCUCAGGUAUGUACUUUGAGCCACUCAAGAGUGUAAGGCAAUGAAACCCAGCUCCUGACCCUACACACCACUGGAACCUGCCAA